UACAGAAGGUGCGAGCGUUAAUCGGAAUUACUGGGCGUAAAGCGUGCGCAGGCGGUUUUGUAAGUCAGAUGUGAAAUCCCCGGGCUCAACCUGGGAACUGCGUUUGAAACUACAAGGCUAGAGUGUAGCAGAGGGGGGUGGAAUUCCACGUGUAGCAGUGAAAUGCGUAGAGAUGUGGAGGAACACCGAUGGCGAAGGCAGCCCCCUGGGUUAACACUGACGCUCAGGCACGAAAGCGUGGGGAGCAAACAGG
rnacentral:rRNA from 1 species